UGAUUGUGAAGGUCAUUUUAUGAAAGUGUUUUGGUGUCUGCACAACAGCACAUCAUCCGAGGAUUACAGUGCAUUCAGUUUCAUAUCAGGAAAAAUAAGAUAUCGUUGGUGCUCAAAGGUUGGCUGACAGUUCCUUCCUUUAACCAUUCGUAAUCACAAGUUCCAGUAAUCAUAUAGCACAACUCGUUCAGCUCCAAAGUAAUUUUUGGAAUUUUGCAUUUCAUCAUGAGUUGGGAAACUCAUACAGGAGCGAAAGUGGACCAUCCAUUCUUUCGCCACUGUGAACAACAAACUGAGACACCGGUUCGUGGGACUAUCGUCAAAGGUCAUCUUCCUCCAUGGUUAACAGGUGUUUUGAUACGCAAUGGUCCAGGAGUUCAAAAAUUCGGAAAUACAAGUUAUGCUCAUCUCUUUGAUGGCUGCAGCGUCCUGCACAAAUUUAAAAUUGCCAACGGAGAGGCAACCUAUCAAAGUAGAGCAUUGGAAAGUGAAGCGUACCAGCGAAACACUGCAGCUAAUCGAAUUGUAGUCUCGGAAUUCGGAACUCAUUCGUUUCCUGACCCUUGCCUCUCUAUUUUGGGGAGGCUGCAGGCCAAAUUUGAGGCUGUACUUGGAAAGGGAAAUCGUGAAAUGGAGAUGACUGAUAAUUGCAGCGUUAACGUCGGAUAUUACGGAGAUCAGCUAUACGCAAUGACAGAAACGGUCUUUAUUCGUCGAGUCGAUCCAGAAAGUCUCAAAUGUAUCGGAGACAAGACUAGAAUUAGAGAUCACUGUGCACUCAAUACGGCCACGGCACACCCUCAUUGCUUCGAAGAUGGGACAAUGCUUAACGUUGGCAACAACUUCAAACAUAAGGGAGGCCCACACUACUGCUUCGUUAAAGUUCCUCCAAAAUUUAACAGUGAAGAAACUGCAUACAAAGAGGCGACAAUUAUUGGAUCGAUUCCGAGUAGGUGGAAGUUCAAUCCGUCCUACUUUCAUAGUUUUGGAAUGACACUGGACAAGAUCAUUUUCGUCGAGGCUCCGUUGUGCUUAAAUAUCGUUUCUAUGCUAUCAUCGCCAUUAUGGAACAAGUCAUAUGAAGAAUGCAUGACAUGGUAUCCGAACGAGAAGGCAAGGUUCCACGUUUUAUCAAUGGAUGAUGGGAAACCAGUCCCAAUAACUUACGAAACCGAUGCAUUCUUCACGUUUCACCAUAUCAAUUCGUACGUGAGUGAUGAUGGAGCUGAAAUUAUUUGUGAUGUUGCCGGAUACAAUGAUGGAGAAUUCGUGAAAAAGGCGAAUGUCAACCAGUUGAAAACUGAUCUUGAUGCCAUGAACGGGGCUACUGCUCGUCGAUUUAUUUUACCUCUCAGCAUCGAGGGUGCAAAAAUCGAUGAGAAUUUAGUGAAAAUGAAAAACACAACGGCAACCGCAGUUUUGAGACCUGGAAAUGUUGUGCAUUUGACCCCUCAUCAUAUAAAUAAGGAAUGGGCGGAGCUACCAAGAAUUAACUACAGUUACAAUGGGAAGAAGUACAAGUACACUUAUGCAAUUGCGUCCAGCGAAGAUGUCAUGAACUACACAAUUCCUAGCGCAACAAAGAUAAGCAAGAUAAAUGUCGAUGAUGGAACCACCAAGUCGUGGUUAUCUAAGGGGGUUAUGGUGUCUGAACCGAUCUUUGUCCAAGAUCCCACAAAACCAAGUGGUGCUGAAGACGAUGGAGUGGUCCUCACAACUGUCUUCCACACGAAUCCAAAGGAAGUGAGUCUUGUGGUCUUAAAUGCACCUGACAUGACAGAGCUCUGCGAAAUAAAAUUCGAAGCAUCUGGCACUGUCACCUCUACGUUCCACGGCAUAUGGAACUCAAACUGAAGAUAACUUUGCUAUAUGCAACUUAUCAAUAAAAAUGAAGUGAGUAUUCGUCGAAAAUAAUUGUAAAAUCCAUACAUAAGAAAUUUUAUUAAGAAGAGUUUGACCCAGGAAAAUGAACUAACAAGCUACAUACGGAUGAAUAUGUACAUUAUACAUCAGACAACCAAGUCAUACAACCUUUCUUUAUGAUAUAAAAGGGAUAUCUUCUUACUUCCACGAUUGAAAUUAAACUAACAAAAUAAAUAAAAAAACACGAAUUGUUAUAAAA